rnacentral:rRNA from 1 species
GACGAACGCUGGCGGCGUGCUUAACACAUGCAAGUCGAACGGAAAGGCCCUGCUUUUGUGGGGUGCUCGAGUGGCGAACGGGUGAGUAACACGUGAGUAACCUGCCCUUGACUUUGGGAUAACUUCAGGAAACUGGGGCUAAUACCGGAUAGGAGCUCCUGCUGCAUGGUGGGGGUUGGAAAUUUUCGGCGGUUGGGGUUGGACUCGCGGCUUACCAGCUUGUUGGUUGGGUAGUGGCUUACCAAGGCUUGGGCGGGUAGGCGGCCUGGGAGGGUGACCGGCCACAUGGGGACUGAGAUACGGCCCAGACUCCUACGGGAGGCAGAAGGGGGGAAUAUUGCACAAUGGGCGGGAGCCGGAUGCGGAAACGCCGCGUGCGGAAUGACGGCCUGCGGGUUGUAAACCGCUUUCGCCUGUGACGAAGCGUGAGUGACGGUAAUGGGUAAAGAAGCACCGGCUAACUACGUG